rnacentral:lncRNA from 1 species
AGAGGAGUAAAGAGGACUCGAGAGAGGAAAUCGACAUGAUUGAGAGUAAUCAAUGGCAAAGAUCGGUGCAAUGGAGAUGAAGAGCGGAAGGGUAAGAUAGUAGAAUGGAAUAAAGAGACACUGGACUAGAGAAGAGGCAAGAGAGGAGCAAAGAAAAGACAAGAGAGAAGCAAAAGAGAAUAAGCCAUAGAGCAGGAGGGGAUGAAGUGACAUCAUAGUAUGAAGGAGAGUAGUUUAGUUCCAUGAAGAAGAAAGAUGGAGACAAG